rnacentral:rRNA from 1 species
AACGAACGCUGGCGGCAGGCUUAACACAUGCAAGUCGAACGCCCCGCAAGGGGAGUGGCAGACGGGUGAGUAACGCGUGGGAAUCUACCGUACCCUACGGAACAACUCCGGGAAACUGGAGCUAAUACCGUAUACGCCCUACGGGGGAAAGAUUUAUCGGGGUAUGAUGAGCCCGCGUUGGAUUAGCUAGUUGGUGGGGUAAAGGCCUACCAAGGCGACGAUCCAUAGCUGGUCUGAGAGGAUGAUCAGCCACAUUGGGACUGAAACACGGCCCAAACUCCUACGGGAGGGAGCAGUGGGGAAUAUUGGACAAUGGGCGCAAGCCUGAUCCAGCCAUGCCGCGUGAGUGAUGAAGGUCUUAGGAUUGUAAAGCUCUUUCACCGACGAAGAUAAUGACGGUAGUCGGAGAAGAAGCCCCGGCUAACUUCGUGCCAGCCGCCGCGGUAAGAC